CUGGCUUUGAAAACACCACCAUCUGCAAUUCUUCCUUGAGCACCAAUGUCUGCGUAGAUGAAGUUAUAUUUAGCGUCCACCAAAUUCUUUUUAGGAGGAUGGUAACGUAUCACAAACAAGUGAAGAGGAUAACAUAGCUAUUCCAACGCAGCAUGAACCAGCGCCUAAAAAGUUAAAAAGAGAUCCAAAACUCCAGCUGUUGAAAGAAGCAUUCGGGAUAUUACAAGCAGCAGCAAAUAGACUGCCUCUGCCCCAGUCAGCUGAUGACAAUCCUGAACUGAGGUUGUUUUUGGACUUCAUACUAGCCAAGAUGAAAAAUUAUAGCACUCAAACAAGGAAUUUAAUACAGGGAGACAUUUUCCAGAUUAUUUUUCGAGCUGAUCAAGGCUUCUAUGAUGAUCCACGGCAGUAUGGGUACUUUUCUGGUGCACCUUCCACAAGUACUGGUACUACUAAUUGUUACCCACAGACACAUGCCCCAUCACUGUGCUCAUCGUUUGGAAAUGCAACCUGGUCACCAUCACAUGUGGUGAGCUGUCACCACAUGUGAAUCAAUCCCUACGUGACAGUCUGUCCCCUACAAGCGACACACAAAGUGACAUGUAAUCCAAGUGGCAUAUUACCGAACUGGUUUGACAUGAUUUGAUUCUUUUGUGUAAACGACAUGUAUGGAUGAUAAAUGACACAAUAAGUACAACUGA